AGGGGUUUACGAGAUAUUUUAGGUCGUGUAAUAUUUUUGUUUACUGACUCUUAAUCAGCGGGUCGGGGGUUCGAGCCCCCCAGCCUCUACCA
rnacentral:tRNA from 1 species